rnacentral:rRNA from 1 species
GACGAACGCUGGCGGCGUGCCUAAUACAUGCAAGUCGAACGCACAGUUUAUACCGUAGCUUGCUACACCAUAGACUGUGAGUUGCGAACGGGUGAGUAACGCGUAGGUAACCUGCCUGGUAGCGGGGGAUAACUAUUGGAAACGAUAGCUAAUACCGCAUAAUAUUAAUUAUUGCAUGAUAAUUAAUUGAAAGGUGCAAUUGCACCACUACCAGAUGGACCUGCGUUGUAUUAGCUAGUAGGUGAGGUGACGGCUCACCUAGGCGACGAUACAUAGCCGACCUGAGAGGGUGAUCGGCCACACUGGGACUGAGACACGGCCCAGACUCCUACGGGAGGCAGCAGUAGGGAAUCUUCGGCAAUGGACGAAAGUCUGACCGAGCAACGCCGCGUGAGUGAAGAAGGUUUUCGGAUCGUAAAGCUCUGUUGUAAGAGAAGAACGGGUGUGAGAGUGGAAAGUUCACACUGUGACGGUAUCUUACCAGAAAGGGACGGCUAACUACGUG